GACGAACGCUGGCGGCGUGCUUAACACAUGCAAGUCGAACGGAAAGGCCCUGCUUUUGUGGGGUGCUCGAGUGGCGAACGGGUGAGUAACACGUGAGUAACCUGCCCUUGACUUUGGGAUAACUUCAGGAAACUGGGGCUAAUACCGGAUAGGAGCUCCUGCUGCAUGGUGGGGGUUGGAAAGUUUCGGCGGUUGGGGAUCGACUCGCGGCUUAUCAGCUGGUUGGUGGGGUAGUGGCUUACCAAGGCUUUGACGGGUAGCCGGCCUGAGAGGGUGACCGGCGACAUUGGGACUGAGAUACGGCCCAGACUCCUACGGGAGGCAGCAGUGGGGAAUAUUGCGCAAUGGGCGGAAGCCUGAUGCAGCAACGCCGCGUGCGGGAUGACGGCCUUCGGGUUGUAAACCGCUUUCGCCUGUGACGAAGCGUGAGUGACGGUAAUGGGUAAAGAAGCACCGGCUAACUACGUG
rnacentral:rRNA from 1 species